UACGUAGGGUGCAAGCGUUGUUCGGAAUCAUUGGGCGUAAAGCGCGUGUAGGUGGUUAGGUAAGUCAGUUGUGAAAUCCCUCGGCUCAACCGAGGAAGUGCAUCUGAAACUGUCUAGCUAGAGGACGGUAGAGGAAGGUGGAAUUCCAAGUGUAGAGGUGAAAUUCGUAGAUAUUUGGAGGAAUACCGGCGGCGAAGGCGGCCUUCUGGGCCGGUUCUGACACUGAGACGCGAAAGCGUGGGUAGCAAACAGG
rnacentral:rRNA from 1 species